CACCGAAGUCAAGCAUCAUUGGGCGCGGUCAGUACUUGGGUGGGUGACCACCUGGGAAUACCGCGUGCCGUU